UACGUAGGGUGCGAGCGUUGUCCGGAAUUACUGGGCGUAAAGAGCUCGUAGGUGGUUUGUCGCGUUGUUCGUGAAAACCGGGGGCUUAACCCUCGGCGUGCGGGCGAUACGGGCAGACUGGAGUACUGCAGGGGAGACUGGAAUUCCUGGUGUAGCGGUGGAAUGCGCAGAUAACAGGAGGAACACCGGUGGCGAAGGCGGGUCUCUGGGCAGUAACUGACGCUGAGGAGCGAAAGCGUGGGGAGCGAACAGG
rnacentral:rRNA from 1 species